rnacentral:rRNA from 1 species
CCUACGGGUGGCAGCAGUGGGGAAUAUUGCACAAUGGGCGAAAGCCUGAUGCAGCAACGCCGCGUGAAGGAAGAAGGCCUUCGGGUCGUAAACUUCUGUCCUUGGGGAAGAAAAUGACGGUACCUGACUAAGAAGCCCCGGCUAACUACGUGCCAGCAGCCGCGGUAAUACGUAGGGGGCAAGCGUUAUCCGGAUUGACUGGGUGUAAAGGGAGCGUAGACGGCUAAUCAAGUCAGAAGUGAAAACCCAGGGCUCAACCUUGGGAGUGCUUUUGAAACUGAGUAGCUAGAGUGCAGGAGAGGUAAGCGGAAUUCCUAGUGUAGCGGUGAAAUGCGUAGAUAUUAGGAGGAACACCAGUGGCGAAGGCGGCUUACUGGACUGUAACUGACGUUGAGGCUCGAAAGCGUGGGGAGCAAACAGGAUUAGAUACCCGUGUAGUC